AAUCUUUCAAUUACUGCAAUCACCAGUAGUGCGUUCAAAUCGGUUCUCUUGGUAAAAACUUUGUUUUGGUCAGACCGUAACUUAAUCACGUUUACUUUUGGUGUAUUCUCUGGCGGUAAUGGACAUUUUGUUCAAAAAGGACGUUAUCACAGGGCCUACGAAGGAGUGAGCAGCCAGCGUGACACCCCGACUUCCUCUCUAUGCACGUAAUUGUUCUUCUAAGUCGUAUAAGAACUGGGUCGUCUGAAGAUCCGUUACUCGGGGUUCCGAAGCUCCAAUUUGAUCGACUCCGAUUGAUUUUCCCUUCCUAGUUUCGAUAUCAAUCAGCGAACACGUGCCUCGC